rnacentral:rRNA from 1 species
UGGGGAAUUUUGGACAAUGGGCGAAAGCCUGAUCCAGCAAUGCCGCGUGUGUGAAGAAGGCCUUCGGGUUGUAAAGCACUUUUGUCCGGAAAGAAAUCCUUGGCUCUAAUACAGUCGGGGGAUGACGGUACCGGAAGAAUAAGCACCGGCUAACUACGUGCCAGCAGCCGCGGUAAUACGUAGGGUGCAAGCGUUAAUCGGAAUUACUGGGCGUAAAGCGUGCGCAGGCGGUUUGCUAAGACCGAUGUGAAAUCCCCGGGCUCAACCUGGGAACUGCAUUGGUGACUGGCAGGCUAGAGUAUGGCAGAGGGGGGUAGAAUUCCACGUGUAGCAGUGAAAUGCGUAGAGAUGUGGAGGAAUACCGAUGGCGAAGGCAGCCCCCUGGGCCAAAUACUGACGCUCAUGCACGAAAAGCGUGGGGAGCAAAACAGGAUUAGAUACCCUGGUAGUCCACGCCCUAAACGAUGUCAACUAGUUGUUGGGGAUUCAUUUCCUUAGUAACGUAGCUAACGCGCGAAGUUGACCGCCUGGGGAGUACGGUCGCAAGAUUAAAACUUAAAGGAAUUGACGGGGUCAUAGCUGUUUCCU